GAUUUCUGGCUUGGUGCGCCUGGCCCGCCACCGUUAGGUGUGUGAGUGCUGGGUCGCGCCUGCCAUCCUUCUGGAGAACGUAUCUACCCUUCACUGGGCCGGAUAUGCAAUCCAGAUCUUUUACUUUGAAAAAAUUAGAGUGUUUAAAGCAGGCUUUUGCUAUGAAUACAUUAGCAUGGAAUAAUAAUUUAGGACUUCGGUUCUAUUUUGUUGGUUUCUAGGACUGAAGUAAUGAUUGAUAGGGAUAGUUGGGGGUGCUAGUAUUCAGCGGCCAGAGGUGAAAUUCUCGGAUUCGCUGAAGACUAACUUAUGCGAAAGCAUU
rnacentral:rRNA from 1 species